rnacentral:rRNA from 1 species
GGGCCCGCACAAGCAGUGGAUCAUGUGGUUUAAUUCGAAGCAACGCGAAGAACCUUACCAGGUCUUGACAUCCCGUGCAUACUCUGGAGACAGAGGAAGCCCUUCGGGGCACGGAGACAGGUGGUGCAUGGUUGUCGUCAGCUCGUGUCGUGAGAUGUUGGGUUAAGUCCCGCAACGAGCGCAACCCUUGUUGCUAGUUGCUACGCAAGAGCACUCUAGUGAGACUGCCGUUGACAAAACGGAGGAAGGUGGGGAUGACGUCAAAUCAUCAUGCCCUUUAUGACCUGGGCUACACACGUGAUACAAUGGCGCUUAACAGAGGGAAGCGAAAGAGCGAUCUGGAGCAAACCCCCAAAAAGCGUCUCAGUUCGGAUCGCAGGCUGCAACCCGCCUGCGUGAAGUCGGAAUUGCUAGUAAUCGCGGAUCAGCAUGCCG